CCUACGGGAGGCAGCAGUGAGGAAUAUUGGUCAAUGGGCUUACGCCUGAACCAGCCAAGUCGCGUGAGGGAAGACUGCCCUAUGGGUUGUAAACCUCUUUUGUCAGGGAGCAACGCCGGCUACGUGUAGCCGGACUGAGAGUCCCUGCAGACAAAGCAUCGGCUAACUCCGUGCCAGCAGCCGCGGUAAUACGGAGGAUGCGAGCGUUCUCCGUAUUUAUUGGGUUUAAAGGGUGCGUAGGCGGAAUGCCAAGUCAGCGGUAAAAUCGCGGGGCUCAACCUCGCUCCGCCGUUGAAACUGGCGUUCUGGAGUGGGCGAGAAGUAUGCGGAAUGCGUGGUGUAGCGGUGAAAUGCAUAGAUAUCACGCAGAACUCCGAUUGCGAAGGCAGCAUACCGGCGCCCAACUGACGCUGAAGCACGAAAGCGUGGGUAUCGAACAGGAUUAGAUACCCGUGUAGUC
rnacentral:rRNA from 1 species